CAGAGCGAGGAGAGGGAGAUUUUAUAUUGAUUUUCUCUGCAAAAAGGAAGGGAUGCUGGUGGUGGAUCUUUAGUGGUUCUGCCUGUGUACCCAUCACAUGUAUGCAGUCCAUGCCUGGAUUGUAUUGAUGGUGCCAAACUGAGUGCUGAGGUCCUGCUGACAGAAGUUGACAGUGUGUUAUCAGGAUUGCCCCUGCUUUACUCUUCCUCGAGGCAACCAACUAUUGUUCUAAAAUGUGUGGACAGAGGAUCACUGUGGCUUAUCUCCAUGUC